CUCCCACCCUUCCUGUCAGGUCCAAAAGCCAAAGGCAGCCCCACACGUGGCUGGUGCUGCAGGUACAGGGGAAAUAUUCCAUUCACUGGAAUUUCAAAUGACACUUGCUGCUGUGGGAAGAUGGGCCUUCAUUUAGAAGGCCUAACAGUGGGAGCCCUCUCUACAGAUGCUCUUGCUGGAUACAAAUCUCUAUUUACGAUAAGGAGUAGCUGCUUGCAGAGUACUCUGAUCACCGUGGAAAGGAGUGUGAAUACGAAAUAUAUCCAUUCCCACACAAUGAUUAAGCAGGACAACAUAGAAAAACAGGAUGGAGAACAGCAGGUGAACAGUUAUGAAGCAUGAGCAACAGAGAACAGAAACUUAUUAUCAGGCAAGAUGGCCUCAUGCAGACAUCCGUCAUAUGAGGAUGCACAUUUCUGACCAGCUGACUGCACCUCCAAAGCCUGGCAUUUCAUGAAGGGUACCAGCAGCUUUCAGUUACUGAAGUGCCAAGUUGUUCAAGUACUUCCCAACAAGUAUUUAGGGAUUUGGUUGUCAGUUUGCCAAGAAGCUGAAGACCAGAACAGUUCAGUAUGGAGGGAGAUAAGACAGCGUAGUUGUAGACCAGACUGAAGGAAUGGUUUCUGCAUUCAUAAACAUACAGUAAAGAAGUGCUUGAUGUCAGGGAUUCAGUGACAUCGGGUAUUAGUAGUAAUUAAGAUGAGCAGCAGUCCAUGAGACUUGGAGAAACAAGGAAUAAAAAUCAGAUAGCCUGUUGUCAAGUGUCAGUUCCAAUUGUUUUGGUUUUAUAAACUCCAAACUGGAACUUGAAUUAGGACACUGAAAACCACUGUUCCACAGAUCCCCCUCCAUCAUGCACUGCUCCAGGUACUCCUGCAGCACCCUUCCCCGGCAGCAAAGGGGCCAUAUGAAGAAGACUCCAGCCCAGACUGAAGUUUCAGGCAGGCACUGAAGUGCCUCAGCAGGGCAGGGCAGUGCAGUGGUCUAGACCUGAUCCCCAGCACAUAU
rnacentral:lncRNA from 1 species